rnacentral:rRNA from 1 species
UACAGAGGGUGCGAGCGUUAAUCGGAAUUACUGGGAGUAAAGCGCGUGUAGGCUGCUCUGCAAGUCGGGUGUGAAAGCCCCGGGCUCAACCUGGGAAGUGCACUCGAAACUGCAGAGCUCGAGUCCUGGAGAGGAAGGCGGAAUUCUCGGUGUAGAGGUGAAAUUCGUAGAUAUCGAGAGGAACACCGGUGGCGAAGGCGGCCUUCUGGACAGUGACUGACGCUGAGACGCGAAAGCGUGGGGAGCAAACAGG